rnacentral:rRNA from 1 species
GACGAACCGAGCGAACGUUGUUCGGAAUUACUGGGCGUAAAGAGUGUGUAGGCGGUGCUCCCAGUCUGUUGUGAAAUCUCCCGGCUUAACUGGGAGGGUGCAGCGGAAACUAGAGUGCUAGAGGGUGGGAGAGGUAAGCGGAAUUCCUGGUGUAGCGGUGAAAUGCGUAGAUAUCAGGAGGAACACCUGUGGUGUAGACAGCUUACUGGACCACUUCUGACGCUGAGACACGAAAGCGUGGGUAGCAAACAGG